AUUUGAGUGAGUGGCGGACGGGUGAGUAACACGUGGGUAACCUGCCCUAAAGUGGGGGAUAACAUUUGGAAACAGAUGCUAAUACCGCAUAAAACCUAACACCGCAUGGUGUAGGGUUGAAAGAUGGUUUCGGCUAUCACUUUAGGAUGGACCCGCGGUGCAUUAGUUAGUUGGUGAGGUAAAGGCUCACCAAGACCGUGAUGCAUAGCCGACCUGAGAGGGUAAUCGGCCACACUGGGACUGAGACACGGCCCAGACUCCUACGGGAGGUAGCAGUAGGGAAUCUUCCACAAUGGACGAAAGUCUGAUGGAGCAACGCCGCGUGAGUGAAGAAGGUUUUCGGAUCGUAAAACUCUGUUGUUGGAGAAGAAUGUAUCUGAUAGUAACUGAUCAGGUAGUGACGGUAUCCAACCAGAAAGCCACGACUAACUACGUG
rnacentral:rRNA from 1 species